rnacentral:rRNA from 1 species
AAUGAACGCUGGCGGCGUGCCUAACACAUGCAAGUCGAACGUGAAAGUCCUUCGGGGCGAGUAAAGUGGCGCACGGGUGAGUAACGCGUAGGCAACCUACCCUCGGGACCGGGAUAACAGUGCGAAAGUGCUGCUAAUACCGGAUACGAUCCUUUGGCGGGAGCUGGAGGGUGAAAGUCGGCCUCUCGAAGAAGCCGAUGUUCGAGGAUGGGCCUGCGUCCUAUCAGCUGGUUGGCGGGGUAACGGCCCACCAAGGCGACGACGGGUAGCUGGUCUGAGAGGAUGAUCAGCCACACUGGCACUGAAACACGGGCCAGACUCCUACGGGAGGCAGCAGUGAGGAAUGUUGCGCAAUGGGAGCAAUCCUGACGCAGCAACGCCGCGUGGGUGAUGAAGGCCUUCGGGUCGUAAACCGCUGUCGGAGGGGAUGAAUGGCCUGGGGGUCCUCCCCCAGGUUUGACAUAUCCUCGGAGGAAGUACGGGCUAAGUUCGUGCCAGCCGCCGCAGUAAGAC